rnacentral:rRNA from 1 species
GAGUAACGCGUAGGUAACCUGCCUGGUAGCGGGGGAUAACUAUUGGAAACGAUAGCUAAUACCGCAUAAGAGUAGAUGUUGCAUGACAUUUGCUUAAAAGGUGCAAUUGCAUCACUACCAGAUGGACCUGCGUUGUAUUAGCUAGUUGGUGAGGUAACGGCUCACCAAGGCAACGAUACAUAGCCGACCUGAGAGGGUGAUCGGCCACACUGGGACUGAGACACGGCCCAGACUCCUACGGGAGGCAGCAGUAGGGAAUCUUCGGCAAUGGACGGAAGUCUGACCGAGCAACGCCGCGUGAGUGAAGAAGGUUUUCGGAUCGUAAAGCUCUGUUGUAAGAGAAGAACGAGUGUGAGAGUGGAAAGUUCACACUGUGA